rnacentral:lncRNA from 1 species
CUCGAAAUCGAUCUCUCAUUCCUCCCUCCUUCCCCAAAAUCACUAAAUUUGUUUGUUUUUUUUUUUUUUCCAAAUUAGCCGGUUAUGGCGGCAGUGAAAGGAGGAAAACAAUCGGCGAGAAGAAGCAGCAAUACGGUGGUGCAAAUAACGUGUCGUAAGAAGGAUUUGCAUCCAGAAUUCCACGAAGACGCGAAGGUAUACUGCAAUGGAGAGCUGGUGAUGACGACGGGAGGAACAAAGAAAGAGUAUGUGGUUGAUGUUUGGUCAGGUAACCAUCCGUUUUACCUUGGGAAUCGUUCGGCUUUGAUGGUUGAUGCUGAUC